CCAUCGCCCCUGCGCACCGUCCUCCCCCACCUCCCGAUCAAGCCAUCCAGCCGCCUCUCCUCGCCCUCCUGCCUGCGCGCAUCUCUCUAGAGCUUAAACUCUCCUAGAGAGAUCUCAGGCAGCCCCAAUAACCAACCGCUCGACCCAACUCGUCGUCGUCGUCGUCGCAGAUGGCCGGCCUCAGGAUGAAGCUCGUCGCCGCCGCCGCCGUGGCCGCCGCGCUCGUGGCGUCCGCCGCCGCCCAGGCCCCCGCGCCAGCGCCCACCUCCGACGCCUCGGCCGCGGUGCCCCUCGCGGCGGCGUCCUUCGCCGCCGCCGCCUUCGGCUACCUCUUCUGCUAGAUCCGUCGUCCGGGGAUGCCGUCGUGCUCCCUGGCCGGUCGGGCCUGCUGAUGAUGAUAUGAUUCGUUUUGGCGUGAGUCGAGUCCCCUGUUCGUGGCGCGUGUUGAGGGAUGUCGGUGGGCGUGUGUAUGUACGAGUCGGCGGCGGGUGGAGGUGUGCGCGCGUGGUUGGAUACGUGCGUCGACGCACCACUCUUUGUGGUGGAGAUCAUGUACCCGCUGCGCUUCUGUUUAUCAAUGAGAUGAUUUAUUUGAUUCUUUUCAUCUUAUAUACAAUAUACAUGAGAAUUGCGUAUUCAGUUUGUUGUGUUUUGCUCUGCAAACUUGCGAUGUGCAGAUUGUUGUAAAACACUGUCGAACGAUUCUCCCUCAAUCGAGUUCUUCCGUUACAAAGAAAAAGAAAACGGUGCAUCUCUCUUAAAAAAACGAUUACUAUUCUUACGACCUGAAAAUUAAGGGGUGCAGGCUACAGUUCAAAGAUGUAAUUGGAAUCUGAAAUCGAUUUGACCGACUAAGGAACCCACCAUCUGAAUUCUAAGCAAAACGACCGGCAUAACGACUUUCAUUUAUGACCAACCAAUUCAGAAUUGACAAGCUUUAUUUUUCCUCCCUCCCUCGAAAAGAAUGCUGUGGCACGGAGUCCUCGUGAAGUUCGUUAGGAGAUGCCGGGCCGGGGUUGCUUAAUUAGUUUGGUGAGGGAUCCGAACGUUGAAAUGAUUGAAGCAUGUUGGCGUCGCCACUUGCCAGCCAAGAAGCCAUGUGCUGCUCGUUAAGCACUGGUCCACAGAUGAGUUGUCUUGGUAGGGGCAGCCGUACCCGCUGUAUCAGCGCUGGCAUGCUCCAAGCUGGAAAUGGUGAGCCGUCGCAAUCGCUGCAGUAUUACCCGACUAAUAUGUGCUUUAUGGAAUUGCAGGACUGCUUAAUUUUGACCGUGCUCGUGGAUUUAGAUGCUGGUCGAUGGCUCCAGCUCGAUGCCUUUUCCUACUGUACUGGCUACUGCCGACCGAGAGUCUCAGAGCGUGCAGAAUGCAGGUCGAGUUCCGCAAAGUUGUUGGCGUACACAGCUGGGGAUUGGGCCAGUGCCAGCUCUACACACCACUGGGCCACCUUUGUGUUUUCUCCGGCCUGCUUGAAAAUGUAUUGGGCCAGUUUGUUGGGCCGCUUACUUACAUCUGUGCUCAGCUAAAUCCAGCGAGAACAAUGGAAGAGUUUUUGGCUCUAUACAACAAAUCUUUUGGUUUUUUCCCCCCCUUUCUUUUUCAUCCACAUAAGACACCCACGAUGGCGUUUAUAUUUGUAAGAUAACUGAGUUGCAUUUUUAAGUGCCUCAUUUCUGGAUUAUCGGGCAGCUUCUGAAAGGAAGCUCCAAUUAUAGUAGACGAAGUAGAAGGUUUUUUUUUCGAUUCAAGACCUGGAACGUAGGUAGCUAGAGUCUACGCACUGCAGUUACAUACUGACAAAUUGCAAUGGCGAGUCGGCGACCGACAAGCAGAGGCCAGGCACAGCUGCGUCACAUGAACUCGCUCAUCAUGGCGAGCACCUGCGCCAUCGUGGGCCUCUCCUCCGGCGCCUCGGCGGUGCACAGCACGCCGAUCUUCACCAUCCCCAUCGUCUCCUCCCCUUCGCCGCCUUCCUCGCCGUCGGCGGCCUUGUGGUCCGUCACCACCUCCAGGAGCACCAUCCCGAAGCUGUACACGUCGGACUCCUGCGUCGCCCUCGCGCCCGCGCCCGACGCCAGCUCCGGCGCCGCGUACCCGUGCCACCCGACGCUCGCCGCUGGCGGGGCCGCCGACGACGUCGCGGUCGCCGCCCGGCCCAGGAACAGGUCCGGCGGGCACCGAGCGGCCUGCGGGACGACGGACUGCUGGAUGUUUGUGGCGUAGCGCAUGAGCCCGCACUCGGACACGCACGCGCCGCCGCGCUCGUCCAGGAGGAUGUUGGACGGCUUCACGUUCGCGUGCACAAGCGCCGGCCGCGCCGGGAACGUGUGGAUGUAGUUCAGGCCCUGCGCCGCGCCGAACAGUAUGCUCUUCCUCCCCGCCCAGUCCAGGCUCCUCGCGCCACCACCUGCAGCAACAACAACGGCCCGUCAGGAACACUCGCUUUCUUGCACCGACUGCAAAUUGGCAAUGCAUUUGGGAUUUCAUUAUCUCAUUUCAGCGCGACGACGCACCACUGGCUUGCAGAAGGGACUGGAGGCUCCCGUUGGGGAGGAAGUCGUAGACGAGGAGGCGCUCGCCGUUGGAGUUGCAGUACCCCCUGAGGCUGACGACGUGCCGGUGGCGGAGCCGGCCGACGAGCCGCAUGUGGCGGUCGAACGCCUUGCUCCGGCUGGCGGGGAACUGCAGCGCGCUCAGGCGCUUGACGGCCACCACGAUGCCGUCGUCGAGCACCGCCUUGUAGGUGCUCCCGGACACGCCCUUGCCGAGCACCUCGGCGGACGCCUUGAGGAGGCUCUCCAGCCGCAGCUCCUCGCCGCCCUCGAAGCAGACCAACCCGCCGCUCUUCUGGCACUUGUCGUCCCCGUUCGCCCUCUUCUCUUGCUCCUCGAAGCAGAGUGCCGCGUCGGAGGCGUCCUUCGCCGACCGGAGCUUCCUCCUCAUGUAGACGAACAUGGCCACGGAGAUGGCUAGCGAGACCGUGAUGAGCACUGCGUUGCCAAUGCCGGUGGCCAUGAGUGCAGUCAAGCUAAGCUUACUGAAACCUCCAUUGCUGGAACUGGAAGGCACACUACCACUAACGUUCACUGCAGCACCAGGAGAUUGAGCAGCGAUACUGGUGGUAGCAUUGGAAGAACUAUCCGAUCCUAACGCAUUAUAAGCACGAACACAUCUUGGCAGAGGCGUGCCACAGAGAGCGAGAUUGCCGCCGAAAGCCGACCUCGGGAACCUGGACAGAUCGCCGGAGAUCUCCCCAGCGAGCUUGUUCCCGGACACGUUCAAGCUCCUGAGCGACGGGGCGCGCAGCGCCUCCAGGCCUCCACGGAAGCCAUUGUGCUCCGCUCUAAGCGUGAGCAGAGCACCCAGCGAGAUGUUCAGGCUCCCGGUGAGCCGGUUGCGGGCGACGAGCAGGUGCCGCAGCCACGGGCUCGCCGUGGCGUCGUCCAGCGGGGGGAGGGCGCCGGACAGGGAGUUGUUCCUGACGGCGAGCGCCCUGAUAUGGCUGAGCCGCAGGAGCGGCGCCACCUCGCCGGCCAGCGAGGCGCCGUCGAGGAAGACCCCCACCACCCUGCCCCUGGAGCACCUGAUCCCGAACCACGUGCUGGAGCACGGGUUGGGGCCGUGCCAGGUCGCCAGGGCCGUGGCGUUCGGGUUGUAGGACUUGAAGGAGAGCAGCGCGGGCAGGUCCUGGUGGCCGCCAUUGCCGACCUCUCCGUGCACAGAAGGUACCGAUAGGUGGUAGACGAGGACGGCGAGGAGCAGGAAGGUGGAAUGGUGGAAACGAGGCAUUUUGGUAGCUGUAAGAAUUUUCUUCUGUGUUUGACCGAGAAAUCUAUCCACUCGUUUUAUAGCACGGGCCGGUAACAAUUCAGCGCGGGGAAGUAGAAAAUUUUGAAUGGCGCACGAGCACAAAGGCGUGGAACGACGACGAGCAGAGGGGUCCAAAGAGGAAAGCUGGGUACCUGCGCCGACGUCGUGGGUGGGUGUCGAUGCUGAGGUCGUGGGGAGGAGGGUGGAGGUGAAAAGCGGCGCCAUGGAGGACAGGAGGAGAGGUCCAAGGGGAUGGGGAGCUGACGAGGUGCCCUUUUUCCUCCCUUGGGCAGAAGGAACUUGGACGUAUCUGGUGGGCUGCACGUAGCCGUGAUGGUCGUCGCGCCGGGGAGAUGCUGGUGCUCGCUUCGCUUUACGGAAGCGGCCGAAAGGAAGCAAGAGGGCUCGGGGUUCCACGGCGCGUGGUGGAGUAUCGGGUUCACGAGACGAGACGGGAGUAGCGAGUGGGGACGUUGGCGUCAGGUGGCGCCACGCACCGGUAGGGGAGCAGACAGGAAUGGAUUCCAGCUUCACGUUGCACUAGUCCCCCAGAGUCACAGUGAACCCGGAACACUGAACUGGGUUCAGGUGUCGGGGCAUCUAUUGUUGGGUCCGUUCGUGCUGUGGGCCGAGCCAGGUCUUGCCACCCGAUCCAGCCCAGUAACCGGAGUAGCCAAGAUUUUGUUGGGGCGUCGGGUUCAAACUUCAAAUUGGCAGGUGGAGACGCUUCCAAACGGGUUCAUAGUGAGUCAUUGCUACUGGUACUACGGAGGACUAGGAAGGUUAAUUAUCAUUAUGAACAGUGUUAGUUAGCACCGUCGUCUGAAUGAAAGGUCAUGACAUGCUCGUGAAACCUCGAUUCUAAUGUAUGCGCGCAGUUUUUGGUAUAUCAACUCAGAACUCGACUGGUGGUGUGGUGAGCACAAAAAUGCAUCUUGUUUUUUUUUUCCCACUAAGGGCUACGUCCAAAUUUCAUUACUGUUUAGGCAAUGAAAUUACAGAGUAUGAGAGUUGUCGACACCAUGGUCACACCAGAGAUUACAAAAGCAUCUCCAGGAGGACAGGUGCAGACGGCCUUUCCACCUGGGAGGAAUAAAGCGAGCCUACUUAUUACAUGACACAGAACUAACAGCAUGCUAAACAUCUCACAGCCAACCAAACUAGGAACAUUUCUCAACCAGCCUCCAAAGUUGCUUUGAGCAUCACACUGUAUCCAGACUUCCUGGCUUGAUUUGGGACAGCACUUCUUCUCUUUUUUACUGCAGCAGUACCAUCCCUGUGUCGUCGGUUGUUGCUUCACGGGGGUGAAAGUGCAACGCCGUCGCCUUCAUUGCAUCAGCGCCAGCCUCCAGGAUCGUCCUCCCCUCCGGCUUAUGAAGACCUGCUCAAUAUGAAAUGAAAACAGAUGCUGAACAUAUAAUCUCUGAAGGAGAUUUGACCUAUUUUUUAUCAAAGCAAGCAGCAUUUCUAGCUUUCCAGAGUGCCCAGCAGACCGCUGACAGCCCCACCACAUGGAUGUUUUUGUUUUGUGACAUAUACUAUCUAGUCCAUUCCCAAAAUUGGGCAAAGGUAGUUGGUCUACAUGGAGCACCAAUUACCAUGGCAAUAAGGCUCCAUACAUACCUAGCCAAGGCAUAUCCAAAGAAAAGGUGUUUCGAUGUUUUCUUCCAUAUGACAGAAACAACAGCUUUUGUCCCCCUGCCAGUUGCGUUUUAUAAGGUUGUCUUUAGUCAGAAUAGCAUCUUUUUGGAUUAACCACAUAAAGAUUUUUAUCUUCAAAGGGAUUUUGGCUUUCCAAAUAUUGUCAUGAGGACUGGGUAUAGACUACCGCCUCAUCAUCGACACAUCGAACAACGAUGGCAAGGAUGCCAAGUACGAGGCGGUGGUUCAUGAGAAAAACUGGGGAGACCAAAUCACUCUCUUGUCCUUUAAGCGAGCAGACUCUCAGCAACAAUUGGCAUGAGCAUGUUAAUCACUCUCUUGUCCUUUAAGGAUGCCAAUGAUUUGUAGUAGGGUUGCCACCUUGAUUAAUGCUUAUCACUACUUGCUCUACAACUAUUGCAUUUUGUGUUUACUCCAUUUAGCGUCCUUUCGUUACGCCUUGCUUAAUGCUUAUCACUACUUGCUCUACAACUGCUGCAUUUUGUGUUUACUCCAUUUAGCGUCCUUUUGUUAAUCGUUGAAAUGGCGUGGUAGCUGCUGCGUAAUGCGUAUCAUGUAAUUUGGCAUCUCCAAUAUAAAUGGGAUUUUCAGCCUAAAUAAAAUGUGAUUGGGAAAUUUGGCUUCCCACUUUUGUACAUGAUGCAAACGGUCAUAUACAUGCACACACAAUUACAAAUACACGCACGCUAGUUCGAUCUUCAAGUUUAAUAUAGUUUCAGCUGUUCAAACAUUGGAUUGAACAUGACCGAUCCAUUUGAAAGUAGAUUGCUUUCAAACACAAAACGUGGAUUGCGUUAAAUAUUUUUAUUAGACAUAUUAGGAAUGUAAAAGUCAAAUUUAUAAUAAUUUAACCAAACAUUAGUCAAAUUCUAUAAAUCCUCAGUAUAAAAGUUAUAUGGAUGAAUUCAAAUAUGAAAUAUCUUACUUCUAUACAUCUAAUAGUAUAUUGUAAUAGAAACUAUAUCAGUCAAUAUAUAUCUAUAAAUAUUUUCAAAUCAUCAUGUGCCUACUAAAAACAAACAAAGUUAAUGUUAUGGUUGUGAUUUUAUUGCUACAAAUAUUACUAGUAUUAUAAGAGCAUCUGCAGCAGUCUCCCAAUAAAUAUUUCCCAAUAACUAGUUAAUAGGGAUAUUCCAAUAUCACUUUCAUCGUUAUUGGGAGAGUUGCUUUUGCAGUCUCCCAAUAAUUUCAUCCCAAUCCAACUACCGUAUUGAGAGAGUUACAACUCCUUUAUUUAGGGAGAGUUGGGAUGAAUUAUUGGGUUGUCCCAAUAAUUAUUGGGAAAAGGGAAAGUUAAAGGAAGACUGUUGGAACACUAUUUUCUUAUCAACUCUCUCAAUAUGAUAGUUGGAUUGAGGAAAGGGAGAUUGCUAAAGAUGCUCUAAUAAGCUAUGUAUUCAAAACAAAGUGGUCAUGCGGGUAUUAGAGUUGUGAUCCGAAAUAACGGCAGGAAAAUUCUGUUAUCUGCAUGGCGAGUCAUUUUUUAUGCAGUGAGCGUACAGGAAGUGGAGGCAUUGGCAUGCAAAGAAGGGUGGCCCUUGAAGGGAGCCCGCGAUCUUAGAGUUAGACUGCAGUGCGGUCAUUCACUAAAUCAAGGAAGCGAGUAAGAUGAUACUAGCUAGCAUAAUUUUUCACGGUCUAGAAGGCUAAGCGCCUAGCGGAAAGUCUCCCAUGUCUCGUUUUGAGUCAUGUAAAGAGAUAGCAGAACGUAGUCGCACAUGAGCUUGCGAAGCAAAUCGCAAUGUAGUGUGGUGUGAUCAUCCCCCACUUAUAUGAGCAUUUGAUUGCUCAUGCCUGUAAUUUUUUUUUUGAGCAAUCAAUAAAGCGCUCUCUCUUUUUUUAAAAAAAAUUUGCAAAGAAAGAGACUACGAAUCAAAGUUGGAGAAUGUGACGAGUCAAAGCAUAUUGUGAAAUGGAGGCAGCAAAAUCCUAACGCUUCCUGUCGCAUCGACGUUCGAGCUCUGUGUACUUAAUUGAUUGCCACGUAGAAGCCGAAGAGUGCAGCGUCGAUUCAACUGGCGCGCGUCUAGACCCUAUAAAAGGACGGGGUUUCCAAGGCAGCACUGCACCGAUGCUUGCUCUGCACCAGCAAAGGCAGUCAAACUAACAGUACGCCGGGCACCGGAAGAUCGAUCGACCAGGCAUGUCGCCGCCGCCGGAGCAGGACAGGAGGCUUGGCGUCGUCAAGCCGGAGCCCGAACCCAUGAUCAAGCUCAAGGUGCUGGACAACGAGGGUCGCAGGGUCUUCCACACCAUGAGGAUGUCCGACAAGCUCCAGGCGGUCAUGGAUGCGUACUACGCGAAGGCGCCCGACGUGACCUACGGCUCCGGGACCUUCAUGUUCGAUGGAUCCAUCCGGCUGCGGGGCAGCGAGACGCCGGCGGAGCACGGUCUGCAAGAUGACGACGUGAUCGACUCCUACGAGGACCUGGUGGGCGGCGGACGGGACGACGCCUGAUGCACCGGACCGGCGGCUGAUCGAUCGAUGGCCGCGCGAGUACGUCGUAGCAGUCGUUUAAUGGAUGUCGUUAUAUUAUCAUUCGCCAGUCAUCACUAGUCUCCAAUUAUUACAAAGACGUAUCAUCUACUAGGAUUCAUCUUUCUACUAUACAUGCAAGGUGGAUCCAAUAUGUUCUCUUGAAACUUUGUUAUUGAUGUAUCUUCACAGUUUACCUGCUGAAUUCAACUGUCAAAACUUUUCUAAGGCCCUGUUUGGAUCAUUGGAAUUGAAUUCCAUCCUAAUAGUCAUAAUUUAGACACAAAUUAAUUAAGCUAAUAUAAUUGUAUGUGGAAUAUAGUUGUAUAUUAUAGUUGGUGAUAUAGGAGAGAUACUUGUAUGCUGCACUUCUACUAUAGAGAAGCGAGUCUAAGAGCGUGCUAUAAGAAUUGAAUUCCAUUCUAAUAACCAUAAUCUAUAGAAUCAAUUUCCAUCUCCCACCCCAUGAAUUUAAGAUAGGCUUAUAUCUAAACUUUGGAAAGUUGUGGAAUGCCACAUUCCAACAUAAAUUAGCCUACUCCAUUAAAUAGAUUCCAAUUCCUUGGACCCAAACGAGGCCUAAGCGAAAUGCAAGCGUUCGUGGUAUAGCACUUGGAUCAUCCACGGCCCGAUGAUCGAUUGCCCAGGCGGCUGAGAUCUCUUUAGUCGUCUAGAGCUCACGGGGGAAUUCCGAAGAUGCGUUCGGGGCAUUCGAUAGCUUAUCCGCGUCCUGGUACGUCAUGAUUCAUGAACAGUUUGAUCUGGUAAAUUAUGAUUUCAUUGAAGACAUUGCCGUUCCAUUUUCUAUUGAUGAAUUUUUUUAUUAAUCUUCUCGUAAAAAGUUUUUGACGAGGCACUUUAUGCGAUCCAUUGCUUACGAUAUACAUCAAGUUCAACAAAGUGGUUUGGCCUUUUUUUUAGAUAUGCAAAAUAUAAAUCUAUUGAUGCAACUUUGAGACAUGAAAACAUAUAAUUUGACUACUCUUGGAGUAAAACCUACAAAUUAAAGUAUUGACUAUUUGAUACAACCUACGUAAAGAAACAGAGUAAGCAAUGCACGUCAAGCAGACAAAUGAUACGAUCAAGUUCAACAAAUUAAAGUGGUUAGUGGUGAGAAGCAGAUUUUGGUAGGCAUAUACUUCCGUCUCAUCAUCGAUGCGUCGAACAACAAUGGCACGGAUGGCAAGUAUGAGGCGGUGGUGCACGAGAUGGAUUGGGGAGAAAAACUCUCCCUUGAGUCCUUUUAAGUCGGCUAAUUGAUCUACAGUUAGAAUGACCGUCUUAAUGCAAUUAUCCUAAAUAAUGAUGUCAAGGUGUAUUUUCAUGCCUUUGGAUUUUUUUAUGGUUAUAUACAAUUGUCUCAGGAAGCUUGUGCCUCAAGCAUGUCUCUCUCCUAGGAGUAGAUCACUGCCUCACUGGAGACCACAAGAUCAUAGAGCUUCCGACUAAAGUGAGCAGUUUCUUCGAGCUUCUGAGUUCACCAGAAAGAGCGAGGUUGCUACUAAAGGGAGCAGUUUGUUCGAGCUUCUGACUAAAUCGAUCCAAAAUUAUGUCAAACAAUUUCCACUAAAUUACAAGAUAACUAUAUAUUGCAGGAGCUGAUGUGAUAUGAAUCCACUAAAUCACUUCCAAGUUGUAUUUGAACAAACUGUCCAUCGGUUUCCAUCCAUUUCGCCGGAAUACAAGCUCUUAUUAGUAAGGGCUGCAUGCAAGGACUGUCUUAAUUUUUUGCUGUAAGGUAAAACUAGUUGUCAAUUAAUUUCAGGCCAAUCAUUUUCUACUAAAAAUUGCAAGAUACUACUUAAUUUGACACAUCCAAUUAAUAUUUUCCAAAUUGUAUCGAACACCCUGUCCAUCAGCCAUUUGUUGGCAACGUCACGAGGCUAAGUGCUAUUAAAUGCCUCAGUCGUGUCUCCAAUCUUCAGCAAAAACUAUGAACCUGCCAAUCUUGUUAGUACUUCAAUAGACUUCCUCGAUUCUAAAUUAUAGUUCACUUUAGCGUUGUUCUAAACCAAACUAUUCUCUCUGACUAAAUGUAUAGAAAAAUAGAACAAUAUCUACUAUCAGCAUAUUUCUUAGCAGAUUCAAUGAAACUAUAAUUUGACGUUAUAGAUCUUAAUGCCUUUUUUAUGAACUUGAUCAAAGUUAAAGAGAUUUGACUCAGAACAAUACUCGUAUAUACUACUUACAUUUUAAAAGAAGUAUAAAAUAAAGUAGUUAUUGUAAUGAAUGUAAAAUAAGCUUAGAAGAAACCUCAAUGACCAAAUUGGGACUGCAGAAAGUACUUUCUCCACCCUAUUACUGGCUCCGCACGCACAAGAGAAACAAAAGCACGAGCUUGUGGCCAUUAUUCAAACAAUAAAAUUAGCACUAGUCACUUGGAGAGAAACCGGCAAAACAUCCAGAAAUAUACCACACAUAGGGGUGGUAAUGGAUCAUGCCUCCUUCACAAUCCAACUCAACCCUAUUUAUUUUUAGUUCAAAAUCAUAUAUUAUUAUAGCCCGAUACAUAUUGAGCCUGAUCCUUAAAUUUGCUAAGUUAAAUUAGAGGGCCCUUUACCACACCUAACCACGCCACAAGAACAAAAUUCAACAAGCUGUUGGUAACUCGGUACUCUACCGGUUGGAUACAAAACAAUAUUAAAAACUGCUGCUACUAAUAUUCUCUUAAUGAAAUACAUGCACGUUUAUAAAAAAAAUGACUCACAUGACCCUCCUAAACCUAGAGAACAGACUCGAUUGAAACUAAUCGGAACGUAAUAAUAGUGAGCAAAGUCACUGGCAUGUAAAUAAACUAAGUCUAAGUAAGAGCUGUAUAUCUAGAAUAUGAGGUCUUGAUGGACUCCUCGAACUCGUUGACGACGGCCUUCCAUCCGGCAUGGGUCGGGUUGAUGUCGUCCCAGUAGAAGAACUUGUCCGGCUUGGACCCCAGGCUGUACUGCGGCUCACCGUCCUGCACCUGCCCGCAGAACCCGCUCUGGUCGAAGCUCUCGCAGCACGACUCCAGCCUGUACUUGAACUGCUUCGAUCGCGGCGACGGGCCCGCGUAGUGGCUGAAUGCGGCUUUCAGGUCGAGGUUGAAGACGGCCUCGUCCUGGAACACCUUCUCCUCGAGGUACGAGUUGUGGAUGCUCGCCACCUUCUGGCUGUCGCACUUGGCAUCGUAGACGCCGUCCUCGGACCUCGACAGCCACGGCGUGCACCCGAGCGGGGGCAGCGAGGUCACCACCACC
rnacentral:lncRNA from 1 species